AUUACAUAUUCUAUUUUGAAAUAAUAAUAUUGUUGAAGAUGUAUGUAGAUGUAAUUUCGUGUUAGAUAUGGAUGAAAUUUAAUGGGAGAUCAAUAUAGAAUUACGUAGCUGUUGAAUUUGGAAACGAACAAAAGUUUAAUGAUCCUUCUUGGGGAUUGCAGGUAUUGGAAUUAGAUAUUGAUACAAAUAUUGGCCGUAAUUAGUAUGGAAUUGACGCAUUCCACAAAGAUACAGGUUGAGAACCAUCUGUUUAGAGUGCACUUGCAAGACACAGCGCCGUACAUAGUUGGAACGUUAGCCUCAUAUCUACCCACCACGUUAUUACCGACGACUCCCAGUUAUACGCUUAAUGUGCGAGCUGAAUUCAUCGCGCGCGAUUGUGCGAACUCGAAGAUCAUCCUUCUCGAGGAACUUUUAAAAGUUGCAAUUGGUACAUGCAACCCUGCAUCUCUCAUCCCUUUCUUUUAGAUAAACUACGGCUUUCUUCAUUGAUGAAGAACUUUGAAGCUCAACCCUUUAUGAUAUAAAUUAUAUGUAACAUUUAAUGCAAUACAUACAAUGUAUUUUAAAAUUAGAACAUUGGAAGUUGUAGAUUUGGUAAUGCACUUACAUAGAAUUUAAAUAUUCUUGGUGAAACUUGGAGCUUUCUUUUAAUGUAAUCUAGGAGAUUGAUUGUUAUAAGGAACGAACUCUAAAAAUAUAGAGAUUCUCAAAUCGAA